rnacentral:rRNA from 1 species
CAUGGUUUUUUUGUUUUAUAUAUAAAAUUUAAUCUGCUCCAUGAUUUAUUAAAUUGCCGCAGUAUAUUAACUGUGCAAAGGUAGCAUAAUAAUUAGUUUUUUUAUUAAGAACUUGAAUGAAUGAUUGGACGAUAAAAUGACUGUUUUAUUUUAAGUAUUUAAUUAAUUUUAUUUUUAAGUUUAAAAGCUUAUAUUUUAUUAAAAGACGAGAAGACCCUAUAGAGUUUUAUAAAAAAAUAUUUAAUUUUAGUAUAUUUUUUUUUAUUUGGUUGGGGUGAUUUAAAAAUUUAGUUAAUUUUUUAUUUUUUAUUUUUUAUUUUAAAAUGUAUAAUCUUUAUUUUAAAUAUUAAUUUAAAUUACCUUAGGGAUAACAGCGUAAUUUUUUUUUAAGUUCUUAUUAUAAAAAAAGUUUGCGACCUCGAUGUUGGAUUAAAAUUAAUUUAGGUGUAAAAGCUUAAAUAUUAAGUCUGUUCGACUUUUAAAAUUUUACAUGAUCUGAGUUUAGACCGGUGUAAACCAGGUUGGAUUUUAUCUUUAAUUUAUUUAUAUAUUUUAGUACGAAAGGACCAUAUAUAUUAUAUAUUAUAUUAAUUA